rnacentral:rRNA from 1 species
UUGAAUUUCGGGAUCUGUCGAUUGGUCGGGCUUCACUGUCCGCACUGACCCUGAUGGAUUCCUACCUUCUGAAUAACCAGCAUGCUAUUAAUUUAGUGCGUUGGGGAAGCAGAGCUAUUACCUUGAAAAAAUUAGAGUGCUUAAAGCAGGCUUGUGCUUGAAUAGAUUAGCAUGGAAUAAUAAAAUAGGACGGCAUGGUUCAUUUUGUGGUUUCUAGGACACCGUAAUGAUUAAUAGGGAUAGUUGGGGGCAUUAGUAUUCAAUUGUCAGAGGUGAAAUUCUUGGAUUUAUUGAAGACUAACUUCUGCGAAAGCAUUUGCCAAGGAUGUUUUCAUUAAUCAAGAACGAAAGUUAGGGGAUCGAAGACGAUCAGAUACCGUCGUAGUCUUAACCAUAAACUAUGCCGACUAGGGAUCGGACGAUGUUAAUUUUUAAUGACUC